rnacentral:rRNA from 1 species
AGGAUACGGUUAACGGAGCGAAAGCGACGUUCAACCUCAAAAGAAGCAGAGGGGGCGUAGUGGUGGGGUGACUGCGUACCUUUUGUAUAAUGGGUCAGCGACUUAUAUUCUGUAGCAAGGUUAACCGCAUAGGGGAGCCGAAGGGAAACCGAGUCUUAACCGGGCGUUAAGUUGCAGGGUAUAGACCCGAAACCCGGUGAUCUAGCCAUGGGCAGGUUGAAGGUUGGGUAACACUAACUGGAGGACCGAACCGACUAAUGUUGAAAAA